GUUCAACAACCGAACACUGCUACUGUUAAGCUACAAUGGUAGCUGGAGAAUGAUGGUAUCUGGCUAGCCGACAUCAAACCGAUAAAGGGAGAGACUUUAUCGGUAAUCGAGAGGGAGGAUAUAUCUGUUAAAAGAGGAUGCUGUGUUUGGAGUGAAAGAGAAGGAUGAGAUUACCGUCACUUUGAAGGAAGAAGAGGAACAGACUGGAGAUCCAAAUAACUACUGGCCACAGCGCUUCGUGGGAGAUGUGAGCGCUCCUCUGUGGUUGACGCUUUGGAGCACACAUUCCCACCUACGACUCAUGUCCAGCCCCGAGUUUUAUGGAUGCCAAAAUGGUAUUAGAGUUCCUAAUGGAAAUGUGUGAUGGCAAGUCUGAUGAUGGAGAGAUAUCAGGACUGAGUGAUGUGUCCUGGGAUGACUCUUCAUCUGACAGUUCAUCUAACAAUGAUCAACCACCUCAGAAACAAGUGAGACGGACCGACCCUCCACUUCAAGACAGGUCAACGACAGCACUUCUAGAAGAACAAAUCUCAAACCCAGGCUCAGAGAGCGGUCCCAGUUCCACAGCAUCAACAAACUGCAAACAAGGCAGGAAGACUUAGAGAACAUCAAAGAGUACAUACAGGGGAGAAGCCUCACCACUGUACCCAAUGUGGGAGGAGUUUCAGCUGGGCAGGAAUUCUUAAGAUGUAUAGAAGAAUUUAUACAGGGG
ensembl:lncRNA